GAAGUGAUCGACUAGGCUAUACUUAAAGUGGUGACCGAACUAAGACCAGCAUCGUAGAGAGCUUGUUCAGUCAUCAGCUCUCUCUGCGAUAGGACCGCCAUGUCCUUCAUUCGGUGGAAGUCUUUCCGAUCGUUGACCUCCAUCCGACUGUUCUCAUUAGAGCCGGUCCUUGGAUCACCCCAGCAUGAAGGAAAAACCCAGGAAAGAGAAGAAGCAACAAAGAAGAAUUGAUUCUUCCAUCCAUGAAUAGAUGAUGGAAGACCGGUGACGAAGGAUAGAUAUUUUUUUUUGGUUGAAGAGCCACCAACCCUUGGCCUUA
rnacentral:lncRNA from 1 species